rnacentral:rRNA from 1 species
UAGAUCCCUUCGGGGUGAAGAUGAAAUGGAUUAGCGGCGGACGGGUGAGUAACACGUGAGUAACCUGCCUUAGACAUUGGGAUAGCCUCGGGAAACCGGGAUUAAUACCAAAUGAAAUCACAUAUGCACAUGCAUAAAUGAUCAAAGCUCCGGCGGUCUAAGAUGGACUCGCGUCCCAUUAGCUAGUUGGUGAGGUAACGGCCCACCAAGGCGACGAUGGGUAGCCGGCCUGAGAGGGUGAACGGCCACAUUGGAACUGAGAAACGGUCCAAACUCCUACGGGGGGCAGCAGUGGGGAAUAUUGCACAAUGGAGGGAACUCUGAUGCAGCGACGCCGCGUGAACGAAGAAGGCUUUCGAGUCGUAAAGUUCUUUUAUAUGGGAAGAUAAUGACGGUACCAUAAGAAAAAGCCCCGGCUAACUACGUGCCAGCAGCCGCGGUAAUACGUAGGGGGCUAGCGUUGUCCGGAAUCACUGGGCGUAAAGGGUUCGCAGGCGGAAAUGCAAGUCAGGUGUAAAAGGCAGUAGCUUAACUACUGUAAGCAUUUGAAACUGCAUAUCUUGAGAAGAGUAGAGGUAAGUGGAAUUUUUAGUGUAGCGGUGAAAUGCGUAGAUAUUAAAAAGAAUACCGGUGGCGAAGGCGACUUACUGGGCUCAUUCUGACGCUGAGGAACGAAAGCGUGGGUAGCAAACAGGAUUAGAUACCCUGGUAGUCCACGCUGUAAACGAUGAGUGCUAGGUAUCGGAAUAAUUCGGUGCCGCAGUUAACACAUUAAGCACUCCGCCUGGGGAGUACGUGCGCAAGCAUG